UGUUUUAGGUGGCACUUGUACCUGCGGGGACAACUGCAAAUGCAAAAACUGCAAAUGCACAUCCUGCAAAAAAGGCUGCUGCUCCUGCUGCCCAGCGGGAUGUGCCAAGUGCGCGCAGGGCUGCGUCUGCAAGGGACCCCCCUCUGCCAAGUGCAGCUGCUGCAAAUAGGGGAGCCCUGGCUGCACAUCUGGGGGUGAUGCACAUCUGGGGGGGCUGAAGAAUAACCUUAUUGUUUAUGUUGCUUGUCUUUUUUUAUAUAUAUGUUCAGAUUUCUUUAGUGUUUGUCACUUUGACAUGUAAUAAGCUACCUAAAUAAAGUGAUAUGUAUAUAAAGGUC